AUGCUCCUAGGACUCGCUUCCCCGUCCAUAACACGGGAUGCCGUCCGCUCCAGCCCACAGGGCCGCCCCCGACAUGAGCCGCCUCAAUCCGCCACUGACUGUCACCCGCGGGCCACGGCGCGCACCAACCGACGCUGCUGCUUCCUAUUCCAGCGACCUCGGGGCCCCCGGGUGGGCGCGGGCGCCGCCUCCCGGGUGACGUCAUCCGGGAGCGACCCCCAGGCGCGCCGGCCCAGGCGGCGGCGGUGGCGGCGGCGGCUUUGCGGUCUAGGUCUCAGCGCACCGGGGCGCGGCGGCGACCGGCCCGGACGGCGGGGGGAGGAGCUACGCCAAGUGCGAAGAGCCAAGGAAAUGCUGCGGCUCGGAGGCCGCAGGGGCAGUCCUAUGGGGAAGUUCCGAUGGGCAGUGUGAUGCAACGGCUCAUGUACUACUGGGUGCUCAUCGGUGCACCUAUUGCACCCACCGCCCAUCCGCAUGAAGAGUCAUUUUAAAUCUCCAGUGCGGGACACAUAGCAGACACACUGCACCCGUGUUCCCUAUUCUGAAUAUAACUUAGUUGAAUUAAUAGUUGCUGGUUGAUAACUUACAGCAAAUCUUGAUUUUUUGUUUUUCACUUGAUAUAAUUGAACUGAUUGUGCAUGUACUAUGGCUUUUGAGAAAAUUAAAUCUGGUCACAAAAAAUAGCUUUUUUUUUUUUUUUAAACCAACAGCUAGACUGAGUGUAAAUGAUACAAUAGGAAAGACAGGACUAGUUUCAUGGGGGUAUAAGCCCGAAAACAGGGUUCAUAUCUCAGAAGGACCCUGCACUUGGUUUAACUCUCUGCUUGGUGAAAUUAUUUCCUAUUCCACAUUGUUAAUACUUUUUUUUUUUAACACGGAUUUCCCAUAUUUUCCUAUUGCACUGAGCCCUGCAAAUCAUGUGGUUGAUGCUGUUGAAAUGACCUCUGUGAUAAGGUGACUUAUAAACAUGGAUGCAAGAAUCUGUCCCGUGGCCCAUUGACCUGUGGACUGACCUACCCUGUGGGCCGAACCUGUGGACCUGCAGAUCGAUUGAGACUCAGUCCAAAAAUAAUGUUUAUCUAAUCAAAAUAAAGAUUGUAUUCUGAGAAACUAUUGAAUUGAA
rnacentral:lncRNA from 1 species